rnacentral:rRNA from 1 species
UACGUAGGGGGCAAGCGUUGUCCGGAUUUAUUGGGCGUAAAGAGCGUGUAGGCGGUCAGGUAGGUCCGUUGUGAAAACUCGAGGCUCAACCUCGAGACGCCGAUGGAAACCAUCUGACUAGAGUCCGGAAGAGGAGAGUGGAAUUCCUGGUGUAGCGGUGAAAUGCGCAGAUAUCAGGGAGGAACACCAAUAACGGCGAAGGCAGUUAACUAUUCUGUUACUGACGUUGAGGCACGAAAGCGUGGGGAGCAAAAAGG